ensembl:snRNA U6 U6 spliceosomal RNA
AUGCUCACUUCGGUAGCACACUGACUAAAAUGGGAACGAUACAGAGAUUAGCAUGGCCUCUGCGCAAGGAUGAUGCAAAUUUGUGAAGUGUUCCCUAACAAC